UAACAUCAAUUAUUUACCAUGAAAUAACAUUGUUUUAGAUUCCCUGCAGGAUGCCUGUUAAAAAGAAAAACUGAAGAAACUUUAAAACUAGAUGAUGCCAACUAAAGAAGUUGAAACACCGUUAUUCAUGGUGUCAUAUCGAGGCUUCAGUUCUCCAUGUUUGUUAGUUAUAUGCAAGAUAUGGCAUGGUAUGACACACUGCAUGUGUAAAAGUGGAUGAAAGCACUAAAGAAAACGAUAACGAUAAACUUUAAAGCAGAAUUUUGUCA
rnacentral:lncRNA from 1 species